UUUGCCCAAGUAUGGACAAUAUACAUAUAGAAUAUAUUGUAAUUUUUGCACUCCCGUAUCCCGUUUUCAAUUGAGCAUUACUAAUGUAAUCUACGAACUCACGCCAAGUUACCAAAAGUUCAUCACUACACUGUCGACGGCGCUGAGUUACAACACUGGUUGUAUGAAAUAAUAAAUUAAUAUACCUUGGAGCUGUUAAUGUUAUUUAUCUGAUACAUAUUUAAUUGUUGUAUUCACUAUGAUGAGUGAAAGAAAGUUCGAAGAAGAAAAUAGAAACAAACAAAAUAGCGGUGAUUAUCCUUUGGAAGUAAUACAAACCAAACGAAUUCUGUCUCGUUUUAAAUCAGAGACUGGUGAAAUAUAUAUUACUUGAUGGUUUAUUAGAUUUACCUAUAAACAUAUCUAUUGACAAAUUGCAAACAAUCUUUAAUGCUCUUCUACAAAAUGAGGAAACAGUAUGUUUUGCAUUUUAUGUGAACGAUGUAGAAAUUACAGACACUUUAGAAAAAGAUAUAAAUGAAAACUUUAGCAUUAGUGAAGAUGUAAUUGAAAUUAUAUAUCAACCACAAGCAAUAUUUAAAGUUAGAGCAGUUACUCGAUGUACUGGAUCAUUGGAGGGUAAAUUAUUUGCAUGUUUACUUAUAUUCACUUAUAGUGGUUUAUUUAUUUUCAAUAUUUUGAUUACAGAAGAUAUGUAUAUUCUUAUUGGUAUAAUAUGAAUAAAUUUUAAAUAUCAAGAAA